UGCGUAGGUGGUUUUUUAAGUUAUCUGUGAAAUUCCCGGGCUCAACCUGGGAAGGCCAGAUAAGACUGGAAGACUUGAGUGUAGGAGAGGGCAGUGGAAUUUCCGGUGUAGCGGUGAAAUGCGUAGAGAUCGGAAGGAACACCAGUGGCGAAGGCGACUGCCUGGCCUGAUACUGACACUGAGGCACGAAAGCGUGGGUAGCAAACA
rnacentral:rRNA from 1 species